UACAGAGACCUCAAGCGUUAUCCGGAUUUAUUGGGCGUAAAGGGUGCGUAGGCGGAUGUGAUAGUCAGAUGUCAAAUCACGAAGCUCAACUUCGUGGCUGCAUUUGAAACGUCACGUCUGGAGACAGGCAGAGGCAAGUGGAACUCAUGGUGUAGCAGUGAAAUGCGUUGAUAUCAUGGGGAACACCCAAGGCGAAGGCAUCUUGCUGGGCCUGUUCUGACGCUGAGGCACGAAAGCGUGGGUAGCGAAU
rnacentral:rRNA from 1 species